GACGAACGCUGGCGGCGUGCUUAACACAUGCAAGUCGAACGGAAAGGCCCUGCUUUUGUGGGGUGCUCGAGUGGCGAACGGGUGAGUAACACGUGAGUAACCUGCCCUUGACUUUGGGAUAACUUCAGGAAACUGGGGCUAUUACCGGAUAGGAGCUCCUGCUGCAUGGUGGGGGUUGGAAAGUUUCGGCGGUUGGGGAUGGACUCGCGGCUUAUCAGCUUGUUGGGGGGGUAGUGGCUUACCAAGGCUUUGACGGGUAGCCGGCCUGAGAGGGUGACCGGCCACAUUGGGACUGCGAUACGGCGCAGAAUCCUACGGGAGGCAGCAGUGGGGAAUAUUGCACAAUGGGCGGAAGCCUGAGGCGGCAACGCCGCGUGCGGGAUGACGGCCUUCGGGUUGUAAACCGAUUUCGCCUGUGACGAAGCGUGAGUGACGGUAAUGGGUAAAGAAGCACCGGCUAACUACGUG
rnacentral:rRNA from 1 species